CAGAAAACUUUUAAAGAAGUGCCCUAUUAUCUCAGUAAUUCAUACCAACGGGGAGAACAAGAACAAAUGCGAUUCUAGUCCUGGUUCUGCCGCUUGCUGACUGAAUGACCUUGGGGAAGCCACUCAGCCUCCCUCAGCUUUCAUCUCACCAUGUGCAGAAUGGGAUAACAUCGUUGGCUCACACAGCUGUUACAAGGACUGAAUACAGCACCUGGGACACUUUGUGGGCCAAGCACAAUGCAUAGAGCACCUUACACAGUGGAUAAUUACUUGUUCAAUGAAUAGAUCAGUGAACGACUAUAUUCCUACCCACACUAUAAUGUUCUAAAUCAGCAGUCGGCAAACUUUUCCUACAAAGGGCCAAAGAAUACAUACUUUAGGCUUUGUGGGCCAUAUGGUCUCUGUCACAACUACCGAACUCUGUGUCCUAGCACGAAAUGAGCCACAGACAAGAAACGAAUGAUUGUGUCUAUGUGGCAAUAAAACUUUAUUUGCAAAGACAGGAAGGGGCCUGGAUUUGGCCUGCAAGUCAGAGUCUGCAGACCCAUGAUCUAAAAAGGCCUAGCCUGCUAACGACAAACCAGACUCACUCUCAAAGUAAGUGCUCAGUCAUGACUUACAAGCCCAGUGCUAACACUGGGCUCAAAUAUUUCAAAGGGAAACCAGGAGGCAGUGAGAAACCAGUCCCUCCCAGCUGCACUCCAACCAUUUCCUGUGUCCUGUCACACUUUUCCCAACAUUGUCAGGAGCCCUCGUGGUCUCACAGGUAUGCUGGGGCCCUUCCAGCCAUCCGGGGAUUCACCAUCCUAUAAACCAACCUGUUUCACCCAAUUUCUCCUUGGGACCAGGCCUAUCAUGACGCCCUGGCAGAUGGAAGGCUCUCCUGGAGUUCAUCCCUUCUUUUCCUACUCAAACCAAGGACAACCCUCUUUUGUCCAAACUCCUCUGAGACAGAGACGGGAACCCAGGAGGCAGGGAGACACAGGAGUUGGGUUCAAAGACAACAGGAUGAAUGGUCCCUGGUGGAAGCACUGCCUAUGACAUCUCCCUUUACACUAUCUGUGGGCUGAGAACAGCCUGAAGAAAGAAUUUCGAAGCCAGAACAGCUGCCCUCCGCUUGGUGAGAAACUCAGCAGUGGCAGCAGGAAAGUCAACAGGCUGACAGCCCAGCUGACUGAGAUCCAGUGGAGGCUGCCUCACCCUUGCUGCGUGCGUGCAUGGAGUAGACGUGGGCUGCUGGUGGGGGUCCCAGGCAGCUGCCGGCAGGUAGCUGCCAUGCUCCAUCCACAGUGCGGUACUGCCCACUUGUACCCCGAUGGAGGGGGCAGCGGGACAGUGAGAGAUAGUGAAUCGCUAAGAAGCUGGUGGCUCACAAGGGGCAUGGCUGCUCUCUCCCAUGGCCAGGCAAGUUUCCAGAAGCUGGGGGUGAGAACCAAUGUUCAUUGGUUCAUUCAUUCAUUCAUUCACUCAUUCACCUUCCAUUCAUUCAAAUAGCAAUAGAUCAAUGCAGUACAAAAAUCAAAUGCACAGACUUGGGGGACAGACUUGAGUGGGACUUCCAGCUGUGAGGCUUUUGGGGAGUUACUAAGCUUGACCAAGCUUCGGUGUCUUCACCUGAGCAGCAGGAAUAAUAAUGUGUCCACACCUCAUAGGGCUGCAAUAAGGGGACUAUGAGUUUGUAAAUCUCUUUAUACUCUGCCUGGCUCAUAGUAAGUGCUCAAUAAAUAGCAGACAUUAGAAUGAUGAUGACAGGCGUGAAGGCAUCAGAGAUUCAUCAUGCAGGCUCUUGCCUCCCAGGGCAACUCUCAUGGCUGUCGGUGAGCAGAAAAGUCUUCUACAUGAGCAAUAAAAUAAAACGUAACACAUGAAAACGUCCCUGGGGAAAGUUUCUAGGGCGAAAGAGUGACCAUUGGACCUAGAGCCUGCCAACCUAAGGAGGCUGUCACUAUCCCACUGCCCAGGUGUCAGAGAUGUGGCUGCUGUGGUCUGGCCACUGGCCUUUUAAGGGGCUAGAGCACACAAAGGGCUCCCACUGGGCUCAUGCUCCCUCAGAAGACAGCCUUUGUGGGUCACUGGAGGGGGGCAGCAGAGAGGGAUUAAAGUGGGGCAGGGGAGGGGACACA